rnacentral:rRNA from 1 species
AUACGGAGGAUCCGAGCGUUAUCCGGAUUUAUUGGGUUUAAAGGGUGCGCAGGCGGGAGAUUAAGUCGGCGGUGAAAUUUUUCAGCUCCACUGUAAAAAUGCCUUCGAAACUGGGUUUCUUUAGUUGAGAAGAAGAAGGCGGAAUUUGUGGUGUAGCGGUGGAAUGCAUAGAUAUCACGAGGAACUCCGAUUGCGCAGGCAGCUUACUAAACUACUACUGACGCUCAGGCACGAAGGCGUGGGGAUCAAACAGGAUUAGAUACCCUGGUAGUCCACGCAGUAAACGAUGAUUACUAGCUGUUUGCGAUACAAUGUAAGCGGCUGAGCGAAAGCGUUAAGUAAUCCACCUGGGGAGUACGUUCGCAAGAAUGAAACUCAAAUGAAUUGGCGGGG